rnacentral:rRNA from 1 species
GUAAGGAGUUUUCGGCAAUGGGGGGAACCCUGACCGAGCAACGCCGCGUGAGUGAUGACGGCCCUAUGGGUUGUAAAGCUCUGUUAUAAGGGACGAACAGCUUUGCUAGGAAAUGAGCAGAGUCUGACGGUACUUUAUCAGAAAGCCACGGCUAACUACGUGCCAGCAGCCGCGGUAAUACGUAGGUGGCAAGCGUUAUCCGGAAUUAUUGGGCGUAAAGAGUGAGCAGGCGGCAGAUUAAGUUUGAGGUUAAAGCGUGGGGCUCAACCCCAUAAAGCCUUGAAAACUGAUCAGCUAGAGUACGAGAGAUGUGAAGGGAACUCCAUGUGUAGCGGUGAAAUGCGUAGAUAUAUGGAAGAACACCAGUGGCGAAGGCGCUUCACAAGCUCGAAACUGACGCUCAGUCACGAAAGCGUGGGUAGCAAAUAGGAUUAGAUACCCCGGUAGUCC